rnacentral:rRNA from 1 species
UGGCGGACGGGUGAGUAACGCGUGGGUAACCGUGCCUCAUACAGGGGGAUAACAGUUGGAAACGGCUGCUAAUACCGCAUAAGCGCACAGUACCGCAUGGUACGGUGUGAAAAACUCCGGUGGUAUGAGAUGGACCCGCGUCUGAUUAGGUAGUUGGUGGGGUAACGGCCUACCAAGGCGACGAUCAGUAGCCGACCUGAGAGGGUGACCGGCCACAUUGGGACUGAGACACGGCCCAA